rnacentral:tRNA from 1 species
AGUCUUGUGGUGAUUAAUCACAUUGAAUUGCAAAUUCAAAGAAGCAGCUUCGAAGCUGCCGGGGCUU